GAAGGAACCAAACCUACUUUCAGAUUGAUGUUGGAUUUCAAGCCUCCAGAGCCGACAAACUGAGACAGAGCCACCACAUUGGUGUUAUAUGCAAAGAGCAAAAGGAACCUUUCAUCUACAUCAUGACACGAGUUUUGACAGAGGAAAAACAGAAGACUAGAAAGGUUUGUCUAUACCAGUGAUGGCAAAUCUUUCAGAGCUUUCAAGGAUACAAACAGCCUGCUGUGAUGAUGUUACCUGCGUGUGGGGGACCCUAGAGGAUGUUGUAUGUCUUAGAAAACCUACUAUAUGGCUGACACUUGGAGAAAAAAUUGAAAAUGCAUGUGCAUUGAUUUCAUUGACCAAAGUUACCAAAGCAGCAAUUCCCUAAACUAAUACACAUCUGGAAGCUGAUGGCCACCACCUUGACCACCUCUUGUAAUUGUAAAAACCAAAGGUAAUUUGUAUUACUCUCAUGAUGUCUCAAUAA